rnacentral:lncRNA from 1 species
GCCAGUCACAACAUGCUCAAGACAAAUUGCCAGAGUUGAAUACCAGUAAACUACAUCUUAUUGAGCAAGCAACAAUGUAUAUGCACAUAACCUAGACACUCUUAGACAAAUGUGCAAGAACUCUUACACAAUGUCUUCAAGUGACUAACACCUUGAACUCAGGUGCACUAUACGUUAUCACCAGAAAGCACCAGCUACAAUUUCUUCAUUUCAUCCUGUCAACUGCUUCCAUUUACCUGGCACAAUAUUCGAACAAACUUCCAUCAAAACAGCAUCUAAUGGCUUCCUUCGACAGGAAACCAUCUCUGUCCCUGUCCAGGACGUAUAGAGUCACCCAUUCCAUUUUGUUGCAAACCUACAAAUGUAAGUUUGGCUCAAAAACGAACAGAAAGAAAGCCGGUUUAUAAGUUUUGGUCAGUUGUACAGACCAUCCAAAGAUGUCAAAUGCUUGUCUGUUGUCUCCGGUCCUUCCACAAUUCUCCGAGCGUUAGCUUAUUGGGCACUAUCCAUGCGUACUUGCGAAAAACAUUGUCAAAAUUGAAUUCAAUGUAUAAAUUCCCCGAUAGCUACCACAUGAAGGAUAUAAUUGUGCAUACCUUCCUUCCGUGUCAUUGGUUCCAGAAUCGCUUCCAUUCUUAUGAAUCAAUUUAGAUAGUCCUUUCUGCCUCCAGUGGCAACUAGAUCAAUGCACUAUUGCUCCCUAAGCCCUUUUUUCAGAGUCACGAGGAUAAUUUCACACUUAUCUCACUAAAUCAGUGAGGAAGUCCUCUGCGAUGGGUCGCAGUGUCAUAAUGGAAGUUUUUCGCCUUCAAGAUAGCCUUACGUAUGUUAUGUAUGUAUAUAGGAAAGAAGGGAGAAGGUAGCCUACCCAGUAAAUACAAUAUAAUUUGAAGCACGAAAAAAGAAAACAAAAAGUUCGGAAGACAAGGAGGGUUAUUGAAUGCCAAACACGCAAGGAAUGAUUUUGUUUCUAGUACAUCUCUUUCCAAUCCAUCUUCACACUAGGACAAAGAAUACCUUAAAAAUCAACUAAUUAGCAAACAAGUGACUAAUCCUAAAAGGAAAAAGUACAAGUUACAAAAUUGUCAAAAUAAGCAAUUACUUAUUUCCGAUUUUCACCAAUAAUAAAAAAUGUCGACUAUUUCAAAACUUCCUUAUAACUUUUAAAUUUAUGCUUAAAAUUUAAGCUUACUUCCUUCUAACUUUUAAAUUUAAGCUUAGCAAAAUAAGCCCUGCUUCUCAAACAGGGGCUGAUGACAGAUAUAUAAACAGGGGGCCAAGGUGGAAUUUGAAUUGCAAGGGCUGAGGUAAUUUAUAUGCCUGUCCCCAGCCCUAUUUGAGUAGCAUUAGUGUAGCAAAAUAUGCUCUAUACUGAUUUGGCAUGAGCUCGAUUCAUAAAGUACUCCAAUAAAUCAUUCUGGAAAUCGGAGAAUUUACAAAAAGUUCACUCUGCCCUCGUACAUAUCCAACAAUAAAGGAUGGCUUUUUCUUUCAAAUUCUACCCUGCUACUUGAUUUUGUUAUCUGGAAAUAGUUGAAUAUUGACAUAAGACAAGUAGUUUAAAGAGAGUGACAGAUACACAAGCCGCUAGACUCUACAAAAUGAUUCGUAACAAUUUAACUGCAUGAUUAUUGCCUCACUGUACUGAACAUCCAUGGUCGUUUCUGAAAUAUGGAAGAUGAAUAUUUUGAUCUUUGCUCUAAUUAAUUUAGGUGUGCCUUGAUUGCAUGUUUUGUACAAGAAAUUUAGAAAGUAAAUCACAAUGUUGUUUCAAAGUUCUAUGCCAAAAUCAAGAUCAGUUGCAAAAAAUGGAUUUAUUUAUACAAUCAAAGACUUCAGAGAAAGCUUUAUAUAAACUAUACAUAAAUACAAUUCUG